UACGAAGGGUGCAAACGUUGCUCGGAAUUAUUGGGCGUAAAGCGCACGCAGGCGGCUUGGCAAGUCGGAUGUGAAAUCCCUCGGCUCAACCAAGGAAGUGCAUCCGAAACUGCCGAGCUUGAGUACUUAAGAGGAUCGCGGAAUUCCCGGUGUAGAGGUGAAAUUCGUAGAUAUCGGGAGGAACACCAGUGGCGAAGGCGGCGAUCUGGGAAGAUACUGACGCUGAGGUGCGAAAGCGUGGGGAGCAAACAGG
rnacentral:rRNA from 1 species